AAGUCGUAACAAGGUUUCCGUAGGUGAACCUGCGGAAGGAUCAUUAAGAGAUAGGGUCUUCAUGCGCCGCACCCCUUACCCCUAAACCCCUUCUUGUUUGAUUAUAACUACCUUUGUUGCUUUGGCGGGACCGUCUCGGUCUCCGAGCGCACUAACCCUCGGGUUGGUGAGCGCCCGCCAGAGUCCAACCAAAACUCUUGUAUUAAACCAGUCGUCUGAGUAUAAAAUUUAAUUAAAUUAAAA
rnacentral:misc_RNA from 1 species